UACGAAGGGUGCAAGCGUUACUCGGAAUUACUGGGCGUAAAGCGUGCGUAGGAGGUGAGUUAAGUCUGUCGUGAAAGCCCCGGGCUCAACCUGGGAAUGGCGAUGGAUACUGGCUCGCUAGAGUGCGGUAGAGGAGAGUGGAAUUCCCGGUGUAGCAGUGAAAUGCGUAGAGAUCGGGAGGAACAUCAGUUGCGAAGGCGGCUCUCUGGACCAGCACUGACACUGAGGCACGAAAGCGUGGGGAGCAAACAGG
rnacentral:rRNA from 1 species